rnacentral:rRNA from 1 species
AUUGAACGCUGGCGGCAUGCUUUACACAUGCAAGUCGAACGGUAACAGGUUAAGCUGACGAGUGGCGAACGGGUGAGUAAUGCAUCGGAACGUGCCCGAUCGUGGGGGAUAACGCAGCGAAAGCUGCGCUAAUACCGCAUACGAUCUGAGGAUGAAAGCGGGGGACCGUAAGGCCUCGCGCGAUCGGAGCGGCCGAUGUCAGAUUAGGGAGUUGGUGGGGUAAAGGCUCACCAAGCCGACGAUCUGUAGCUGGUCUGAGAGGACGACCAGCCACACUGGGACGGAGACACGGCCCAGACUCCUACGUGAGGCAGCAGUGGGGAAUUUUGGACAAUGGGCGAAAGCCUGAUCCAGCAAUGCCGCGUGCAGGAAGAAGGCCUUCGGGUUGUAAACUGCUUUUGUACGGAGCGAAAAGGCUCUCUCUAAUACAGGGGGCUCAUGACGGUACCGUAAGAAUAAGCACCGGCUAACUACGUGCCAGCAGCCGCCGUAA